rnacentral:rRNA from 1 species
UGAAUUUCGGGAUCAGAGGUUCGGUCGUGCCUCAGGUAUGUACUCCUUGACAUGACCGUCGCUUCCUGAUGAACCGUAAUGCCAUUAAUUUGGUGUUGCGGGGAAACUGGACUGUUACUUUGAAAAAAUUAGAGUGUUUAAAGCAGGCUAACGCUUGAAUACAUUAGCAUGGAAUAAUGAAAUAGGACGUUCGAUCCUAUUUUGUUGGUUUCUAGGAUUGACGUAAUGAUUAAUAGGGAUAGUUGGGGGCAUUAGUAUUCAAUUGUCAGAGGUGAAAUUCUUGGAUUUAUUGAAGACUAACUACUGCGAAAGCAUUUGCCAAGGAUGUUUUCAUUAAUCAAGAACGAAAGUUAGGGGAUCGAAGACGAUCAGAUACC